AUGGGGUGGAACUACCCGGACAUAUCCUUGGACGAACUUGUGAAACUUACAAAAGGGUUUGUGGAUAUACUUAUUCUGGCAUCUGGGUACCAGUCCUCUGGUCUUAUUGCCCACUGGGAUCCUCAAAACAUCAAGAAAGCCUUCCAGUGGGGCCACUUCUUUGAAAAUGUAUUCAGCCAUUUAAGCAGCUCGGAUGUUUAUCAGGAGUCGGUGAAGGAACUUGACAAAACUCUUUCUGAACUGACUUCCAGCGCCUCUUUCCCCCAGGGUCUUGCACAUCUAUCAUCUGCUACUCUUGCAAAUGCACAACGAUUUGUGUUAGAACAUCUUAUCCAUGUUCUACCUUUGAGUGAUGCACAUCUCAGAGCCUUUCUGACUGCAACAAUUGAGAUGGAGUUUGAUCAGCUAUCUGGAACAGAGCAUAAUUGCCUAGAUGCAUAUCUGAACAAGUUGACUCUGCAUAAGACAUCACUAAUUCCAGCUCCAGAUAAAAAGGGUUUCAUGAAGGAUUUAGUUCUUUUGUCUCCAGAUAUUGCUCCAAUUAAGGAUUUUACGAAGUAUGCUGUUCAUGAGAUCUUGAAGAGGCGAUGUGCUGUGUCUUGCAUAUCAACAGUUGAGACAGGCUUAGAUAUUCUCUCAAAUGCCAUCAGACGCAGUAGCCUAUCGGACAAUAACUUAAUCAAUGAAAGACUACAUGAAGAAAAAGCUCCAAUGACUAUAGAGUUAUUGCUGGAUUUCAUCACAUGGAACCACUGGAAAUCAAGAAAUAUCUCAUAUUUCAUUGAUAAAAGAACUCUUAGAUUAGUCUCCGGUGCUAGCUUGAUAUUCUGUGGUCCCAAGGACCAGUGGAUGAAAGUUUUUCAAGGGCUGAAUAUUUCAGCCAAAAGAAGUGAUAAAGAUUUUAGUGAAACAAUUGAGCUCUUGUUACUUGGAUGCAUUGCAAGCAGGUGGAACUGUGUAAUUGAACAUUUCAUGUCCAUUUCUUAUUUUUCGCUUACUAUCUCGGAGCAAUAUCGUCAGGUGUGCUGCUUAGUUAUGGGAAGAUCCCAAACUCUUAAUGCUAGAGAGCAAACAACGAACUCAAAGGAAAGUGGCAUUCUCGAGUACCUGACUGGACAGUUGGGUAGUCAACAGCAUCAAUUAUGGAAACUAUCCCCUGCCCUUGCAGCAGCUGCAAUUCCAACCUGGUCACCCUUAUUAAGGUUGUAUAUGACUGAAAUGGAGAUUCAAUUCAAAGGAGAUUUUUCUGCAAUAAGAUACUGCAAUUGUACUCAAGACAUGAAGGAACACAAAAACUGUGAACUUGCUGAGAGAAUUUGGUGCCUCUACGUCUUUCAUGUUUGUGGCUCUCAUCUACUGCACGGUGCUGGUAGUGCUUGAUUGUUGGCUAGUUUAUUGUAAGAACCUGUAUUCUACACACACUUUAGUAUGACUGUCGUUUCAUACUUGGAGCAUGGAAUGUAGAAUUGUUUUUCUGAGUUCUACUCAAUCGGGAGUCUUUGUGCUUACCUUUUUUCAAGCAAAUUCUUUACAGAGCUCAAAUUUCCAGUUGGAGCUGACUUUCCUUUUGUAGAUGCUAAACGUAAAAGAAAACAACUUCAAAACCGAAAAUAGUUUUUUGCACUUGUAAUCAAAUGUGAGUGCAGUAGGGUGUUUCUGGGUGGGAUAGUGCAGAAGGAAAUGAGUCUCUAGAAAUGCCAGAGAACUUCUGGCAGUUCUCAGGCAUGUUGGUAUGGUCAGUAUGAAUAUUUACGUAAGAGAAGACCUCAUCCUACUUUUGUUUCAGUGACGCUGGAAGGAAAGUCACAGAGAACAAGUGGUAGCAACUUUGUGGAAGGUCAUCCAUUCUGAAAAGUGCUCAAUCAAUACUAAUGACUUUACAUCACUAGAUGCUAGUUUUCAACACUCUACAAGUUGGGACCAUUCUGACCAUUUUAGGAAAGCCGAGUCAGAUGGAUGGUUGAUGGUAAUGAUUCUAAUCUCUCCCAAAUGGGAGAGUACAAGUAACAUGUGAUACCUACCACUGAAAAUUGACACUAGAAAAAGCAGCAAUAUUCAUGUUUUCUUUUGAUAAUCUUGGUGCCUCAUUGCUUCCAGACACAAGCUUUGCUUUCAACAAUACACAGCUGUUGGUGAGAAAGGAGCUACAACGAAAAAAUCAUCUCUAGCUUGAGGAGACUCGAAUUCUUGAAGUUAAUGAAGCAAAAUUCGAGUGCGGGGUCUGCAGUCACACUUUUAAAUUUCAAAAGAAGAGCACUGUUGGAUUGUAACCGUGGAUCAUCUCUCUUGUGGCAGUCGGUUUGGAAGUGUAAGUCAUUGUGGAAGCAAAAUUUCGGUUGGCAAAGGAGCAAGGCAAAGUACAGCUAUGAUCUUCGAAGCUAUACUCUGAACUUUGAUGAUGGUUUCUUCAAUGACUCUUUCUCAUAUCAUGGUUCCCAUUGAUUUUUGUUUUCCUUUUUAAAAUAAUCUAUCUGUUUUUGUUAGAUUUGUUAUGGUUUCUUCUUCAGAGGAGAGGUGAUUUGUGAAAAAUAUACACAAGGUUUUAUUGAAGACGUUGUGGGUUGUUAUUAUAGCUGCGCAAGUUUCACAAA